UACGAAGGGGGCUAGCGUUGUUCGGAAUCACUGGGCGUAAAGCGCACGUAGGCGGAUCUUUAAGUCAGGGGUGAAAUCCCGAGGCUCAACCUCGGAACUGCCUUUGAUACUGGGGAUCUCGAGUCCGGGAGUGGUGAGUGGAACUGCGGGUGUAGAGGUGAAAUUCGUAGAUAUUCGCAAGAACACCAGUGGCGAAGGCGGCUCACUGGCCCGGAACUGACGCUGAGGUGCGAAAGCGUGGGGAGCAAACAGG
rnacentral:rRNA from 1 species